rnacentral:rRNA from 1 species
GACGAACGCUGGCGGCGUGCCUAAUACAUGCAAGUAGAACGCUGAAGGAGGAGCUUGCUUCUCUGGAUGAGUUGCGAACGGGUGAGUAACGCGUAGGUAACCUGCCUGGUAGCGGGGGAUAACUAUUGGAAACGAUAGCUAAUACCGCAUAAUAGUAGAUGUUGCAUGACAUUUGCUUAAAAGGUGCAAUUGCAUCACUACCAGAUGGACCUGCGUUGUAUUAGCUAGUUGGUGGGGUAACGGCUCACCAAGGCGACGAUACAUAGCCGACCUGAGAGGGGGAUCGGCCACACUGGGACUGAGACACGGCCCAGACUCCUACGGGAGGCAGCAGUAGGGAAUCUUCGGCAAUGGACGGAAGUCUGACCGAGCAACGCCGCGUGAGUGAAGAAGGUUUUCGGAUCGUAAAGCUCUGUUGUAAGAGAAGAACGAGUGUGAGAGUGGAAAGUUCACACUGUGACGGUAUCUUACCAGAAAGGGACGGCUAACUACGUGC